AGAGUUUGAUCCUGGCUCAGAAUCAACGCUGGCGGCGCGCCUAACACAUGCAAGUCGAACGAGAAAGUGGAGCAAUCCAUGAGUACAGUGGCGUACGGGUGAGUAACACGUGGAUAACCUACCCUUUAGUGGGGAAUACCGUUGGGAAACCGACGACAAUACCGCAUAAUCUCGAGAGAGGAAAGCAGCAAUGCGCUGAAGGAAGGGUCCGCGGCCGAUUAGCUAGUUGGUAGGGUAAUGGCCUACCAAGGCUGUGAUCGGUAGCCGGCCCGAGAGGGCACACGGCCACACUGGCACUGAAACACGGGCCAGACUCCUACGGGAGGCAGCAGUGGGGAAUCUUGCACAAUGGGGGCAACCCUGAUGCAGCGACGCCGCGUGAGCGAUGAAGCCCUUCGGGGUGUAAAGCUCUUCGGCAGG
rnacentral:rRNA from 1 species